GUGGAAGAGAAGAUAGCUGAGGCCGCUGAAGCCGAUGUUGAAGCUCCCGAUGCCUUGCCCUUUGCUUGAAGCACCUAGGCGCCUAGCAGCAUGGCCGAGCGCGCCCGAGACGUUGAGCUCCGCCGGCUGGUGCACGACAAGCCGCUGGAGCGCCGGAGCGUCUCCCCUCCCCGCCGCGGUGCCGUAGAGCGCCUGCCCCAUGUCCCCAGCUACCGAGCCGCCGCUGCCUCCCGCAUCCCCGUCCUCAUCUCCAGAAAGCCAAAGGCUGGGGUUGUCAACCCCAAUUUUUCCAAUCAGGAGCAGUCCCCUGCCCAASCCCUAGGGCCAAGUCAAUACCCCACCGUAAGCAUCAAGGACGUGGACGGCCCAGCUGAUGCUCAGGAGAGCGAAGGCRGGUGCUUGCUGGCGCCGGCCCUGAGCACCAGCCAUGCGCUGGCRGUGCCCGAUGCGGUGACAGCCUCCCCCAGGUAGGGCUUGCUCUUCUCCCCGCUUUGCACC
rnacentral:lncRNA from 1 species